AUGAUGAUUUUCCUCUUCCAGCACUGGGUCUUGCUGGCUGUAGACUUGUUCCUUGCGAUGACCCUUUCCUGCCUCCUUUAUGCCUUUGUGUUUGUUUCCGUCGUCUUUUUGGCCUGCUGCAUUAUCUUCUUGUCCUUCGGCAUUGUGGAGAAGAACAUUGACGUAAAAGGGAGAGCAAUUGUCAUUCUCGUGUCCAACAGCUCCAUUGGGAGGACAUUUGCCAGGAACCUGGAUAAAGCAGGUUUUAGGGUGUCUGCUGCACACUGGCCUCCUCGAGAGGAGGGGAUGACCACGAAAGAAGAGUGCUCUUCGAGCAUGGAGGUAGCACAGCUCCACAUGACUGACGAUGAGUACCAGAAGACAGUGAAAACCUUCAUAGAAAGCCACUUGUCCCUGAAAGGCCCUGCGCAGGACAGCUGUGCUGGAAGGCAGAGCACUCACCAGGAGCCGCCCCUGCUGCAGGCACCCCCAGAGACACGCCCUCUGUGUCGCUGUCCUCUUCUGCCCACUGAACUGUGCCCUGACUUCCCUGAAGAAGAGAGCUCUGCAGCUCCUUGUGCCCCUGAAGCCCAAAAACUGAGAGGUGAGGCAGUGUGCUCACAGCUCACUUACAUACACCUGACAGCCCGCCAGCACCUCCCGCAAGGCCAGCUCUUAGUGCUGCUGGGACACAAAGGGCUGGGGGGCCAGGAGCACAGCGCAGAGCAGCUCCUGCACCUCCAGCACUGA
rnacentral:lncRNA from 1 species